rnacentral:rRNA from 1 species
CGGGACACGUGGUAUCCUGUCUGAAUAUGGGGGGACCAUCCUCCAAGGCUAAAUACUCCUGACUGACCGAUAGUGAACCAGUACCGUGAGGGAAAGGCGAAAAGAACCCCGGCGAGGGGAGUGAAAAAGAACCUGAAACCGUGUACGUACAAGCAGUGGGAGCACGCUUAGGCGUGUGACUGCGUACCUUUUGUAUAAUGGGUCAGCGACUUAUAUUCUGUAGCAAGGUUAACCGAAUAGGGGAGCCGAAGGGAAACCGAGUCUUAACUGGGCGUUAAGUUGCAGGGUAUAGACCCGAAACCCGGUGAUCUAGCCAUGGGCAGGUUGAAGGUUGGGUAACACUAACUGGAGGACCGAACCGACUAAUGUUGAAAAAUUAGCGGAUGACUUGUGGCUGGGGGUGAAAGGCCAAUCAAACCGGGAGAUAGCUGGUUCUCCCCGAAAGCUAUUUAGGUAGCGCCUCGUGAAUUCAUCUCCGGGGGUAGAGCACUGUUUCGGCAAGGGGGUCAUCCCGACUUACCAACCCGAUGCAAACUGCGAAUACCGGAGAAUGUUAUCACGGGAGACACACGGCGGGUGCUAACGUCCGUCGUGAAGAGGGAAACAACCCAGACCGCCAGCUAAGGUCCCAAAGUCAUGGUUAAGUGGGAAACGAUGUGGGAAGGCCCAGACAGCCAGGAUGUUGGCUUAGAAGCAGCCAUCAUUUAAAGAAAGCGUAAUAGCUCACUGGUCGAGUCGGCCUGCGCGGAAGAUGUAACGGGGCUAAACCAUGCACCGAAGCUGCGGCAGCGACACUAUGUGUUGUUGGGUAGGGGAGCGUUCUGUAAGCCUGUGA